GCUAGCUUACGGAUCCUAUAUACAGUAUAUGUAUCAUUCUCAUAUUAUUCACACUAGAUCUGAGGGAGCUAUAUUUAAAUAUCCCUUCCGUUCUUUAUAAGUUUAAUAUAAAUAUGCAGCAUAUUAUUAAAUUCAAUAUUGACAAAGAUUUCAUAAAAAUGACCAGCACUAACUAAAAUGUAUAACUAGAUCUCCUGCAAAAGGAAAUACAAUGCUCUAAACCAGGAGUUC